GACGAACGCUGGCGGCGUGCCUAAUACAUGCAAGUCGAACGAGAGCGACCGGUGCUUGCACUGGUCAAUCUAGUGGCGAACGGGUGAGUAACACGUGGGUAACCUGCCCAUCAGAGGGGGAUAACAUCCGGAAACGGAUGCUAAAACCGCAUAGGUCUUCGAACCGCAUGGUUUGAAGAGGAAAAGAGGCGCAAGCUUCUGCUGAUGGAUGGACCCGCGGUGCAUUAGCUAGUUGGUGAGGUAACGGCUCACCAAGGCCGUGAUGCAUAGCCGACCUGAGAGGGUGAUCGGCCACAUUGGGACUGAGACACGGCCCAAACUCCUACGGGAGGCAGCAGUAGGGAAUCUUCCGCAAUGGACGCAAGUCUGACGGAGCAACGCCGCGUGAGUGAAGAAGGUUUUCGGAUCA
rnacentral:rRNA from 1 species